UAGGCGUCUGAGGUAAGGAGUUAUUGCCAUCAGCGCCCUCACUGAUGAGUCUAGGCAGUGACUUCGCGACGAAACGCAUC
rnacentral:hammerhead_ribozyme from 17 species